GGCCCUCUCCUCGAGCCCAGAACACACGCAGACAGGCUCGCAUCCAAGAACCACACGGUGAAAUGCCCUGUUAUUUGGCGUCAGCGUCAUUCGAGUUCUUGGGCAGGUCCUGGAUUCUGGCUGCACCUCGUCUAACCACGGAUCCUGAUUCCACCACCCGAGGUUUGGAAUUUGGGGGUAACCAUGAGAACCUCACGUGGUUGUUGGGAACGUCACAUGCCACAGAGGAUGGGAAAGGAUGUUAGGAACUACCAUGAGCUACGUAGAGAAGUGACAGAUGACGGUAAUGAAGAGAGAGCGAUGUUUAAGGAGAAAGAAGCCAGUCAGCAUCAGAGUUGCGUCAAAUCAGCUGGAGAAGAACGCAGACUAACUUGUCUGAUACUGGCCACCUGGUCCUGCUAAGUCCGCACUGGGGGCGCUUCCUUCUCCUCUCUGACUUUUAAGCUGAACUAACUACAGGAACUCUGCCAGAACAUAGCAUAGAUGACAAACUUAAAUUGGAAUUAUUUUCACGUAUUUUUAAGUUAUUUCCUAGGAACCAGAGAAACGAGACCUUAUAAAUUGGGGCAGCUGGCAUGCUUGCUAAAAAUCCAUUUCUAUAUAAUUGAGUUCAUAAAUAUUAAUUUUGCCUGUUCCUGAUCUAUUUUUGAUGUCUUUUAAAGUUAGAAAAGUGCUUCAUGUUGCUCACAAUUUAGGAAUUACUGACUCCCUUGGAUGAAUCCAGAAUAUUAUUUCAGCCAUUAGAAUGUUUUCUUUGGAGUAGAGAAGUGUGCACGUGUGCACGUGUGCACGUGUGUGUGUUUGCGAGAGACGAAGUGUGCGUGAAGUCGCAACACAGUUGGGCUCUGUUUUCCCCUCAAACUGGAGGAUAAGGCUUUCUUCUGAAAGGACUUGCUUCCCCGAAGCCCACUUGCAUGAAACCACGCCUUUAGUAAACACCAGCCUCGGAGUCCUGGCGGCCCCAUCACCACAGAGAAAGGGAGAAGGGUAAGGAGCGACGACGCGCCUGAACUGCUCCUCUCCCGGGACCCUCCCUGUUAUUUCUCAGCACAGUACGCACGCUGACAAUCAUGAUGGUUUUCCAGGAAAGAAAAAAAGAGAGAGAGAGAGAGAAGUGAAAAUCCUGCAGUGCUCCACAGCACAUUGUGUCACUGCUAAAGACGAUUUGCCUCCUUCGUAAACUUCUACAUGUUUACGAAGGAGCCGAGAUACCAGGCCGGGAGAAUGAAGUGUUUGACACUAAAGUGGGCAGGUGAGGCAAGAGCCCUGGCUGAAGUUCAAGGAACUCGGGGACUAGCCCCAGCUCCCUCAUUAAUUUGCUCUUGUGCGCAAAGAAGUCACUUGACUCCAGGCCACUCAAUGUGUUUCCUUGGCAGCGGUGAAGUAUACCAGUGGCUUUCAACCGUUUUUAAGCAGCAAAACCCUUUCUUCAAAUGACAUCCUACAUGCAACCCUAACGUACAGCGAAGUGACACCGUCUGCACAUUUACCCCGAGCAAAGGGAGAGAGAGAGGAAGGGAGAAGAAGGAGGGAAGGGGGAGGGGAGCAAAGUUUUUGAUUUUAACACAGGCAAAUGUAUCUAUUUUUAUCUUUUGUCACCCGUGCUUUGGGUGUACCUAAGUAAGCUUUGCCUAACUCAGAGUAAACCCUGUCCCUUAUUUGAACAGAAGA